GGUCGCGCGAGGGACCUGCCAGGGGUUUGGAAGGGGCUGUGGGCUCCGCGCGCUCCUUUCGCGGAUACGGUAAGGUGCGACAGUUCCAGCAACGGCACAGAGAAGGUGACGCUGGGCGGUGCGAACCAUAGCGUGCUGGACUGAGGCUGGUCCUCGCGGCGCUGAAGACCGGUCUGAAAUUGAACCUGACAUAUCUUCGGGCACCUUCCUCCGGGCAGUCUGCCCCGGAGGCUGAGCCGGAGCUCCGGUGCCCAGAGUUGCCUCUAUCCUGGCUCAGUGCACUGCGUUUCGGAACCUCCCGAGGGCACGACUGCAUCCCCCGUUGCACGUUGUGCCCGGGAGUGCCCUGCCGAGCCCCCACAGCGCGGGCGAGGCGUUCUUUAAAUGUUUAUAUAGUGAACCUUGCCUGGUCUGGGGGAGGGUCACCGGUUUGAUUCCAGGCCAGGUUCCCAGUAGGGUGUGCGCGAGAGGCAACCACACGUUACUAUUUCUCUCCUCUUUUUCCCUCCCUUCCCUUCUGUAAAAGUAAUAAAAAUUAAAAAGUUUAAAUGUUUGUUAAAUGACUGGCCCCUCAGGCCUAGGACACACAAUAAAGAGAUGAAAAACCCUGAAGGUGGACCCAAGAGACAUCCGUGAAAGCAAGGAGGAACUUUCAGGAUGAAGGGCAUUCACACCUCCCUGUCUUAAGAUGCCGAACCUGAGGCAGAGUGGGAAGGAUGAGGGAGCUUGGGGACCCUCUGCCAGACCCAGUGCAACCACCUGGGGGUUUCAUAGCUCCAGGCCCAGCCUACCCCCAACUUGAGGCUCACCAACUACCCAGGGCUUGAAAAUCUCUGACACCCAGAAGGAAAUGGACAGAGACAUUGAAAGCUAUCCUGCAGACGACAAUAUUAACCAUGAUGCAUUGGUCCAGCUUCUUCGAGGACAGCAAGCCAACCCGUGUGAGGGCAGACCAUGAUGAUGAGAUGUCCCUUGUCUUUGGAACCUCUUCCUGGAGCAACCACGGGCCAUCUUUGUUUCUUAAAUGCCUUUUCAGUGUCAGAGGAAUGAUGGUCAGUGAUCCUGCACCGCCCUGUCCACAGGAGCCCCAACACUGAGGGUACAGCCUAUAGUGGGCCAGGCCCUGAAGGCCCACAGGUUCCAGUUAUGGAUGAAGACCCCACCUCAGAAAAUCCAAGAGCUCAUGGAAGCCAAAGAGAAGCACACAGAGCUGUAGCCCUCUGUGUCUGGGUGUGGGAGGGUGGGCUUGUGUGCAGGUGGGCUUUGCUACAUGUGCCCGCACGUACCCACUGAGGAGCCAGUAGCUUAUUCCCUCCUUCAUAUAACCAUUCAUUCAUUCGUCCAUCCAUCCAUCUAUCCAGCAACCAUUUACUGAGCAUAAAUAAUUGAGUCCCUGUCUGGUGUGGCUCAGUUGGUCGGAAUGUCAUUCCAUAACUAAAAGGUUGCCUGUCCGGGGUGGGGCACAUGCCUAGGUUAUGGGUUUGAUCCCCAGUUGGGGAACAUGCAAAAGGCAACUGAUCAAUGUUUCUCUUCCUUCCCCCUCUCUCAAAUGAGAAUAAAAUAAACUUUAAAAAAGAAUAAAUAAUUGACGUCAGUUGCCAAUCCUGCCACAAGUCCUCUCGUGGUAGACACAGUCAAUAAAAGCUGCUGCAGAGCUGUGGAA